CAGACGGUUGGAACAAGUUUUGGCUAGAUGGUAUAUCGUUUUUGUCCGAUUUGACUUUUUGUACUAAAUUGAGAAUUUACACCGGCAGAUUAAGAUAAUUCAUGUAGCUGGUUCGGAUAAUUGGUUAAAGUCAGGAUUAGCUAAAAUGCAAACAAAUCUACUUUUAACGUUAAGCAGUAUCCUUCUAGCCAUGACCGUUAGACCACGUUCACCUUGGCAUGCUGGCAUGGGGACACAUUUGCACACAAAAGAGGAAAUUAAGGGCUGCUCUUCUGCGAUAGCAACGGAGCAAGAUUGCAGCGGGCCUCCAAAGAAUCCGGACAACAGAAGUCUUGUGUUUUGAACUUCGGAGUAGAGCACCCGUCAAAGGAGUCAUCUCAGGGGUGACGACGGAUGGUCAGGUUGAAUACCUGAAGAGAAUUCCUGGUGUGGUUGGUUCCCGGCGUCUGACCCGCUGGGUGAAUGGAGAAAAAGAGGAAGGUCUGUUGUUUUUUUGAAAAGGUGCAAAUACCUAUGUAUGUGAAGCUUGGUUAUGUAGCAUGAACAGAGAAUACUGAAGAACGGUGUGUAGAAGGACAACGGUGUGUAGAAGGACGACGGUGUGUAGAAGGACGACGGUGUGUAGAAGGACGACGGUGUGUAGAAGGACAACGGUGUGUAGAAGGACAACGGUGUGUAGAAGGACAACGGUGUGUAGAAGGACAACGGUGUGUAGAAGGACAACGGUGUGUAGAAGGACGACGGUGUGUAGAAGGACGACGGUGUGUAGAAGGACGACGGUGUGUAGAAGGACGACGACGUUGUAAUUGUGGUGGGAAUCAUGAUCCUGAGUUACUGGAGUGCCCUGUAAGGGUGAAGGUAGAACCAUCUCACCUACUUUUACACUAUGAUUUGACUAUUAGAUGUUCGAUGUUUCUUUCAAAAAGAAAUUGGAAGGACUAGUUUCAGCAUAUUAAAACAAGAGUUCAGUUCACAUAACAGGGUUGACCUUAAAAUGAGGGACAGACGUAAAUUAAUCACUAAUCACAUGAAAUAAAUAAUAUUCUUCACAAAUAACUUUGUCAAAGCAACAAAAUAACUAGGGUUUCACAAUUAUGGUGGAAAUGUUGGGGUUAAAUGGGUUAAAAUCCUCCUAGAAGUUACAGAGGGUGUACAGAGGGACAUGUCAAAAUGCAGAAUUUUCAUAAAAUGGGUUUCCAUGGCACAGCACAAGCCUAAGAUCACCAUGCGCAAUGCCAAGAGUCGACUGGAGUAGUGUAAAGGUCGCCACCAUUGGACUCUAGAGCACUGGAAACGCUUUCUCUGGCAGUCCGAUGGACUAAUCUGGGUUUGGCGGAUGCCAGGAGAAUGCUACCUGUCCAAAUGUAUAGUGCCAACUGUAAUGUUUGGUGGAGGUGGGAUAAUGGUCUGGGGCUUGUUUUUAUGGUUCGGGCUAGGCCCCUUAGUUCCAGUGAAGGUAAAUCUUAACACUAAAGCAUACAAUGAUAUUAUAGAAGAUUCUGUGCUUCCAACAUUGUGGCAACAGUUUGGGGAAGGCCCUUUCCUGUUUCAGCAUGACAAUGCCCUAGUGCAUAAAGUGAGGUUCAUACAGAAAUGGUUUGUCAAAAACAGUGUGGAACGCUUUGCCUUGAUGACAUCUUUGCACACUCUUGGCAUUCUCUCAACCAGCUUCAUGAGGUAGUCACCUGGAAUGCAUUUCAAUGAACAGGUGUUCCUUGUUAAAAGGUUCAUUUGUGGAAUGUAUUUCCUUCUUAAUGCAUUUGAGCCAAUCAGUUGUGUUGUAAUAAAGUAGGAGGCGAUAUACAGAAGAUAGCCCUAUUUAGAAAAAUACCAAGUCCAUACUAUGGAAAAAACAGCUCAAAUAAGCAAAAAGAAAUGACAGUCCAUCAUUACAUUAAGACAUGAAGGUCAGUCAAUACGAAAGUCGCAAAAACCAUCAAGCGUUAUGAUGAAACUGGCUCUCAUGAGGACCGUCACAGGAAAGGAAGACCCUGAAUUAUCUCUGCUGCAGCCUCAGAAAUUUCAGCCCAAAUAAAUGCUUCACAGAGUUCAAGUAACAGACACAUCUCAACAUCAACUGUUCAGAGAAGACUGUGUGAAUCAAGCCUUCAUGGUCAAAUUGUUGCAAAGAAACCACUAGUAAAGGACACCAAUAAUAAGAAGAGAAUUGUUUGGUUCAUGAAACACAAGCAAUGGACAUUAGACGGGUGGAAAUCUGUCCUUUGGUUUGAUGAGUCCAAAUUUUAGAUUUUUGGUUCCAUGAUCUCCGCAUGUGUGGUUCCCACCAUGAAGCAUGGAGGUGGUGUGGAUUGUGCUUUGCUGGUGACACUGUCAGUGAUUUAUUUAGAAUUGAAGGCACACUUAACCAGCAUGGCUACCACAGCAUUCUGCAGCAAUACGCCAUCCCAUCUGGUUUAUGCUUAGUGGGACUAACAUUUGUUUUUCAACAGGACAAUGACCCAACACACCUCCAGGCUGUGUAAGGGCUAUUUGACCAAGAAGGAGAGUGAUGGAGUGCUGUAUCAGAUGACCUUGCCUCCACAAUCACUCGACCUCAACCCAAUUGAGAUAGUUUGGUAUAAGUUGGACCGCAGAGUGAAGGAAAGCAGCCAACAAAUGCUCAGCAUAUGUGGGAACUCCUUCAAGACUGUUGUAAAAGCAUUCCUCAUCAAGCAGGUUGAGAGAAUGCCAAGAGUGUGCAAAGCUGUCAUCAAGGCAAACGGUGGCUACUUUGAAGAAUAUAUUUAUUUUGAUUUGUUUAACACUGUUUUGGUUACUACAUGAUUCCAUGUGUGUUAUUUCAUAGUUUGAUGUCUUCACUAUUAUUCUACAAUGUAGAAAAUAGUAAAAAAUAAAGAAAAACCCUUGAAUGAGUA